UGCAUUACAAACAAGGCUAGAAAAGGAACAGCAAAAUCAGGUGCUCCGCUGAAGAUAAGCAGAACAAUAAACGAUGAAAGGAUACACUCUUUCAGGUCGUUAUUGAAGUCUGGAUUUCUAGUCUGUCAGUGCUGAUUCUGGGGCUAGCCUCACAUCUGCAGCAUUCAGUCCUUGACUGGCCAUGGAGCAUGCCAAAGGGAGGAAUAACAAAAUGGGAGCUGCCACGCUUGAUCAGACUCAUGGUUCAUCUGACUGUGGCCAAUACCAGAUGUUUCAGAGGAAGGUGCAAGCAACUGCAUAGUGAAAAAGCAUUGAAUAAUCUGUUCUUCCUAAAUCCCCAUCAAUUAGGCACUGUUUGAUGGCCUGAACUGUUUAUAUCUUUCAUUUAAUAAAAAGAAAAUGUUUAAUCCUG